rnacentral:rRNA from 1 species
GACGAACGCCGGCGGCGUGCUUAACACAUGCAAGUCGAACGGAAAGGCCCUGCUUUUGUGGGGUGCUCGAGUGGCGAACGGGUGAGUAACACGUGAGUAACCUGCCCUUGACUUUGGGAUAAAUUCAGGAAACUGGGGCUAAUACCGGAUAGGAGCUCCUGCUGCAUGGUGGGGGUUGGAAAGUUUCGGCGGUUGGGGAUGGACUCGCGGCUUAUCAGCUUGUUUGUGGGGUAGUGGCUUACCAAGGCUUUGACGGGUAGCCGGCCUGAGAGGGUGACCGGCCACAUUGGGACUGAGAUACGGACCAGAAUCCUACGGGAGGCAGCAGUGGGGAAUAUUGCACAAUGGGCGGGAGCCUGAUGCAGCAACGCCGCGUGCGGGAUGACGGCCUUCGGGUUGUAAACCGCUUUCGCCUGUGACGAAGCGUGAGUGACGGUAAUGGGUAAAGAAGCACCGGCUAACUACGUG